rnacentral:rRNA from 1 species
AUUGAACGCUGGCGGCAUGCCUUACACAUGCAAGUCGGAACGGCAGCACGGGAGCAAUCCUGGUGGCGAGUGGCGAACGGGUGAGUAAUAUAUCGGAACGUGCCCAGUCGUGGGGAUAACGUAGCGAAAGCUACGCUAAUACCGCAUACGAUCUAUGGAUGAAAGCGGGGGAUCGCAAGACCUCACGCGAUUGGAGCGGCCGAUAUCAGAUUAGGUAGUUGGUGAGGUAAAGGCUCACCAAGCCGACGAUCUGUAGCUGGUCUGAGAGGACGACCAGCCACACUGGGACUGAGACACGGCCCAGACUCCUACGGGAGGCAGCAGUGGGGAAUUUUGGACAAUGGGCGCAAGGCCUGAUCCAGCAAUUGCCGCGUGCAGGAUGAAGGCCUUCGGUGUAAC